rnacentral:tRNA from 1 species
AUACCCGUAGCUUAAAGGUUAAAGCGCUCCACUCAUAAUGGACGUGAUAUAGGUUCGAAUCCUAUCGGGUUGAUU